rnacentral:tRNA from 1 species
GCAUUUGGUGGUUCCUUGGUAGAAUUCUUACCUUCCAUGCAGGAGGCCUGGGUUCAAUUCCCAGCCAAUGCA